AUGAACGCUGGCGGCGUGCCUAAUACAUGGAAGUCGAGCGAACAGACGAGGAGCUUGCUCCUCUGACGUUAGCGGCGGACGGGUGAGUAACACGUGGAUAACCUACCUAUAAGACUGGGAUAACUUCGGGAAACCGGAGCUAAUACCGGAUAAUAUAUUGAACCGCCUGGUUCAAUAGUGAAAGACGGUUUUGCUGUCACUUAUAGAUGGAUCCGCGCCGCAUUAGCUAGUUGGUAAGGUAACGGCUUACCAAGGCAACGAUGCGUAGCCGACCUGAGAGGGUGAUCGGCCACACUGGAACUGAGACACGGUCCAGACUCCUACGGGAGGCAGCAGUAGGGAAUCUUCCGCAAUGGGCGAAAGCCUGACGGAGCAACGCCGCGUGAGUGAUGAAGGUCUUCGGAUCGUAAAACUCUGUUAUUAGGGAAGAACAAAUGUGUAAGUAACUAUGCACGUCUUGACGGUACCUAAUCAGAAAGCCACGGCUAACUACGUG
rnacentral:rRNA from 1 species